rnacentral:lncRNA from 1 species
GUCAGUAUCAGUGUCACAAUACCUUUUACACAUUAACAUGUCCAAGAGAUGCACCUGUUCCUGGCCUGGAAAGCCAUAACAGCAUCCCGGCAGAAACAGUGAGAAUAAGAAAUCAAAAUAAAAAGGUAUAGUACAUCAACAAGUACACAAGCACUUGUGUAACUAAAGGACGGGUAUAGUACACCAAGUACCCAGGCACUUGUGUAACUACAGGACAUCCGAAUAUUAAAAUUGUGUACUAUGAACCAAGUAACUCAACUAUGAUAAUAUGGCAAAGACUGCAUUUUACAUGAGAACAAAAUACAUGUUGGCGAAGGAAGAAAAACAAAAUGGCUUUAUUUCAUAAAUGAAAUAGGCGAUAACUUACACCUAGAAUCACGAGAAGAUGAUCCAUGCAGGCGAAACCAAAUAGUUGGAAUCGAGGGUUAAUUGUUGUUAUUACUCAUUACCAUGAUAUUAGGUACAGUGAUAGACUUCUAUAUUCAUGCAGGAAUAAGUGUGGAGCACAGAGGAACUCUAAUUUCACAGAACACCUAAUUCACCUUAAAAGGCAAUUAAUCAGUAUCAGAAUUAAAUGGACUGAAUAUAGCUACAUGGAUAAUCCCCUGAUAUAGAUGUUUAAUUUAAUAGCCAACCUCAACCAGUUGGGACUAAGAGCCCGUUUGACCAAGCUGACAAAAACAACUUAUUUUGAAAAUCAUUUUUUCCCAUAAGUGCUUUAUCCAAAAGUACUUUUGAAAAAAAAAAGUUCGUGUUUGGCGAAUUCAUUUAAGAAGGUACUUUUUGCAAUAUUUGGUAAACAAAUUGUGUUUGGCGGAUCUUUCUAAAAGUACUUUCAAGUGUCAAAUUACCAAAAAGGAUAGCACCAAAGUCUUAUAAUUAUUUUAAAGAGAAAAAUAAACUUUAAUAUUUAUCGUAAGACUUUUAUUAUUUUUUGUUUUAUUUAAUUAAAAAAUAAAAUAUAAAGUAAACAUACAUAUUAAAAAAUUUAAAAUCAAUAUAACAUGUACAGUUAUACCAAAUCAUAUAAUAUAAUCUAGUAUAAUUGCUUAUUAUUUACACGAUGAACAGAAUAAUCCAAAUGCAUCAUUCAUCAUGAAUUAGAAGUAUAUCCCACUAAUUACUAAUCCACCAUGAAAUAGUAAGCAAAGUCGCUCACACAUGAUUACAUUUCUCAAUAAUUUCAUCUCUACUUCUAUCACACAACGCCACCAUAUUAGUAGAAAACUUUCCUUGCAUAUCUAAAGGAAUACCAGAAGGUCCAUCUCCUUCCUCAAUCUCUGCUGUAGUGUCUUUAUUAGCAUAAUAGUUGAAUUCCUUAUCGGUAGAAGAAUAUUAUCGGGUGAAAUUUUAUAUAGUUAUGGUAGCUGUAACAAGAUAAUUCUGAGUGUCAAACUUGAAAGACAGUACUGAGAAUAAAAUAGAAAAAAUUUUAAAUAUAUAAAAAAUCAUUGUCUUUGUAAAAAAUUAAUUAAGUAUCUUUAAAUUCAUAUUCAAAAAGAGUAACUAAUUAUUAACAAUAAAUAAUGCAUAAUUUAAUUUUUUUAUAAUUUAAAUUCAAAGAAAAUAAUUAUUAUGUAACCUAACUAACUUUGUCCUAAAUUGCCGAGUGGCUUAUUGUGAUGUGGAGGCUUUUUCUUCCUUUUUUAAUAAUAUAUAAAUUAUGCGAUGCAAUUAUAAAUUUAUUACAUAUUUGUAGGUAAUUUUCACAAAUUAGAUUUGAUAACUAUUUUAAAAAUUCGGGAAUUAAUAGCCUAUAAAAAAAGAAAUUACAAAUAGAAUAUAAUUGAUAAUCCAAAAAAGGAUGUAGAUAAUAAGAAGAAGAAGAUUUGGAAAGUUAUAAGACAUUAUACAAAGAAAAAAGAAAAAACAAGAAAAGUCAAUAAAGAAUUUGGAAAGCUACAAUAUGAUUCAUGUAUAAAUCUAAAAGAAUGGUAAAAACUCAAAACAAAAAUAAAAAAAUCCUUAAAUCAAUAAGGGAUAAUUGGAAAAUAUAAAUUUAUAACGAGGAUAGAUUUGUCUUGAAUAAAUUUUUCUGCUUCUGCUUCUUGGGAGAAGCUAAAAAUUUUUGCUUCUACCCAAAAGCAUAAAAACUGCUUUUGCUGCUGUACUUUUCUAUUUUGGCCAAAUAACUUAAAAAAUUUUGAAAGUACUUUGUUGGGGAAAAAAGUACUUUUUUGCCCUCCAAAAGCUUGGUCAAACAGGCUCUAAGGCAUAGGUGGCUUCAUACUGGGUUAAUAAAUAUAACUAUAGUUGGUUUACCGUUCACAAAUAUUCUACCUAAAUUUUAACUAAGUCUAACUCGAUAUUCUUUUUAUAGAGUCAAUUAAUGGUUAGAAAAUACAACUAGUCCUACAAGUGUUAAUAACCCAUCCAGAGUCCAGGAUAUUCUCAAAUGACAUAUCAUACCAAUUAUUCUGA